GCGCCACAAAAUCAGGUGAAACUGAAAAUAAAGUCUUUAAUCCAGGCAGCGGCUUUGCAACAUUUGGACAAUUUUUUUUUACACGUCAGUACCCAUCUGUCCAGUUGUGAAGAUGGAACAUCUCACGCUUGUGGCUGUCAUAGCAGUGGUCUUCACUCUCUUCACUGAAACUGAAGCAAGU